UAUCUGUGGUUGGCUGACGCAUUACUGAGGUGGAUACAAAGCCUCACAGCGGAGGACCUCAGCCUGUUGAUUAGGGAGAUGUGAAUUCAGUUCCCAAGUUAGCAUUUGGACUUAGACCUGCAUUGCAUGAGGUGAUUGAUGUACGUGGAGCGGUAGCCUGGAACGUAAAACCUUAACGUUUCUUCAGCUGUUUGCUUCUAAUGGCUGUUCAGGCACAAAUUUCCUCCUUCAGCUACUUGGUUCUUCACAGCUUUAGUAGAAGAGAGCAGAAGAGCAACCCACCUGAGCAACACUUUGAGCUGAAGUGCCUACACAGACUGCAGAAGGCAAGUCACUGGCAUGCAUCUUUGACUGUGCUGUGUUUUAAGAGAUGGAAUGGGCAAAAUGUACAGAUGAGAAACAAAGCAAAAGCCCCAAAGCCCCGUGCUUGGAUUUUACUACACUGCACUAUAAAGAUAUGCUUUCUGAUUUAGAGGUUUCUGUGUUUAAGACUGUGGUAGCUAAAAAUCCCUGACAUCUGAACUGUUGGGAAGCAACAUGCACAAUAAAACAAUGUUGUGGUUGCA
rnacentral:lncRNA from 1 species